UCUGAUUAAAUAAUCAUUGGAGGAGUGGUGUGUGUGCGGCUUUCCCCCUGCUCCUCACCUUGGGGACAUAUUGUCCCCUGUCACUGAAACCUCGGGGACAGAAGGCUCCGCCGUGGGGAGGCUCAGCAGGAGAGCAAGGAGCUGAUGAAACGAAGAUCGGCAGCGCAGCCUGGCAACCUUUGGAAAAGUGGCUCGGACCUGGCAGCGCCCAACAGUGUCCUGGGGCACAGGAAGUAAGGUGACCAGAAGGAGAGGAGCGCAGACUGGCCUGCAGACCAAUGAGAGAGCCCUUGAUGAAAGCCUCAUCCAAUUAAAAUCAGCGGUUAUCACACAGGCCAAUGAGAAACCAAGAUUUACCAAUGAGUGCUGGAGGCCUGCUGAGAACAGCUGACGGCGUUAGCCGCUCCAGGUUGGGGGUGCAGUCAGGUGUCACUCACCACAGCGAUGAUCAGAUUGUCACAGCCCUGCUGGUUUCCUUGGAGAUGGCACCUGAGUCGAUGCCCAUGCCAACAUCUUCAUCAUCACCCAUGGCAACAGCAGCUGGCAGCACUGAACCAGACCAUGUGUCCGACACGGGCCAAGUGGGUCAGACCGCAAUCAGAGUGGAGAGGCCUGUUGUUGCAGUCCUGUGUGGUGCAUUAUGGGAGGGCUGUAUUCUUCACACUGUGGCCUGAGAAUAUAAAAAACACUUGCUUUCUAGGUGGUGUUUCUUAAUGAACCAGUGACAGUAAAGCUUGUGUAUCCAGUCAGUGUUUAUCUUGGAAACAAUCGCCUAUUUAACAUAUUUGAAAACCAG